UACCAGCACCCGAGUGGUCGGGACGAUUCUUGGGCCUAAAGCAUCCGUAGCCGGUCCUACAAGUCUUCCGUUAAAUCCACCUGCUUAACAGAUGGGCUGCGGAAGAUACUAUAGGGCAGGAGGCGGGAGAGGCAAGCGGUACUCAGUGGGUAGGGGUAAAAUCCUCUGAUCCAUUGGAAGACCACCAGUGGCGAAGGCGGCUUGCCCAGAACGGCGCUCGGACCGGUGAGGGAUGAAAGCUGGGGGAGCAAACCGGG
rnacentral:rRNA from 1 species